rnacentral:rRNA from 1 species
GGGCUUUCUGAAUUGCUAUUGCACCACAUGUGUUUUUCUUUGAAACAAACUUGCUUUGGCGGUGGGCCCAGCCUGCCGCCAGAGGUCUAAACUUACAACCAAUUUUUUAUCAACUUGUCACACCAGAUUAUUACUAAUAGUCAAAACUUUCAACAACGGAUCUCUUGGUUCUCGCAUCGAUGAAGAACGCAGCGAAAUGCGAUACGUAAUAUGAAUUGCAGAUAUUCGUGAAUCAUCGAAUCUUUGAACGCACAUUGCGCCCUCUGGUAUUCCGGAGGGCAUGCCUGUUUGAGCGUCGUUUCUCCCUCAAACCGCUGGGUUUGGUGUUGAGCAAUACGACUUGGGUUUGCUUGAAAGACGGUAGUGGUAAGGCGGGAUCGCUUUGACAAUGGCUUAGGUCUAACCAAAAACAUUGCUUGCGGCGGUAACGUCUACCACGUAUAUCUUCAAACUUUGACCUCAAAUCAGGUAGGACUACCCGCUGAACUUAAGCAUAUCAAUAAGCGGAGGAA